GUGCCAGCAGCCGCGGUAAGACAGAGGUGGCUAGCGUUGUUCGGUAUCACUGGGCUUAAAGCGUGUGUAGGCGGGAGCGUAAGCAUUUUGUGAAAUCCCCCGGCUCAACCGGGGCAUUGCUUGAUGUACUGCGUUCCUUGAGGCAAGUAGGGGUGCGAGGAACUCUUGGUGGAGCGGUGGAAUGCGUAGAUAUCAAGAGGAACGCCGAUGGUGAAGACAUCGCACUAGGCUUGUCCUGACGCUGAGACACGAAAGCGUGGGGAGCGAACGGGAUUAGAAACCCCGGUAGUCC
rnacentral:rRNA from 1 species